rnacentral:lncRNA from 1 species
UGUAGCAUUAACCUCUCCUUAACCCCGAAGACAAUAACUGCUAGUACAAAAGCAUGGCUUCACUUGGAGCACGGGGGGGCAGCGGGCUCGGCCAGGUCCUGCUCUCUGGUGGGUCUGGGGUUCGAGUCCUGCUUGGGGGUGCCUUGUGACGGACUGGUGUCCUGUCCUGGGUGUGUCCUCUUCUCUUCCAGCCUUACGCCCUGUGUUGCCAGGUUAGGCUCUGGCUCGCUGUGACCCUCUGCUUGGGACAAGCAGCUUCAGUAAACGUGUGUGUCUGUCUAUAUAUAUAUAUAUAAAUACACACAAUAUAUCUAUUGUAUCUGAUAUCUAUUAUAGCACUCUAUUAACACAGUCACAAUUUUUCCAAAACAAAACCAUCUACUUUAUAUACUUCCUACCUCCUCUGCAUCACACUGACAAUCUCAAUCACAGCCAUCAAGUUAAAUAGAAAUUAUAAUUGAGAUGCUAUUAUUAGUUUGUUUAGAUGACACUUUCAUCGAAGUGGCAAUAUUAAGCUACUUACAAUUGUUUUCCUAUUUAUACUGCAGGAUAAUUUUUACUGUAUCAAUUCAGAGUAAGUAGCUUGGUCAAGAGGACCCAGUGGGUACAGCUGAUGCCUCAGAGUUCUUGAGCUGCUUGGUGGGCGUGAGUAUAGGACAACCAGUGGUCUGUUGGGUGCAGGUGCUGCCUUUGAAUGCAAAAGUUGUCGGUUCAAAUCUGACUUCUACCUGUAGUAGAUUCAGUUAAGGUAUUUAUUCUCAAAAUGUUCCAUAAAAAUUACCCAACUAUGUAAAUGGGUAAAUAAAUAUAAGUUGCUUUGGAGAAACAUAUCAGCUAAGUGAAUGUGAUGUAUGUAGAUGUUUGUGUGACAGCUGUACCUUUCUCCCUCUGUUUUUGUGCCCUUCGGAUAGGCAUGAAAAAAGACUUUUGAAAGCCGCUUCUGUUCCACCCUUGCCUGCAAAAUCACGUGAAUCAUUGCCAAGGGUUGGCUUCAACUGGCUGGCAAUUCCACUCAAACUUUGCUCAAAGACUGUUCCAGACCCCAGACUGCUGUAACACUCCUUACUGGUUCACUUCCUUCACCCGGAAAACCUAGGGGUGAGUCCUGAGAUGUCCCUAAUCUCUCACUCAAGGACAGAAGUAGAGACAGGAGGAGAGAU